rnacentral:misc_RNA from 1 species
AUUGCUUUGUAAUGAAUCCUAUAUAUAAGGAUUAUAUUUUUAGAUCCUAGUAACAUGUUAUAUCCAGCUGUUUUGAUGUCUAAGGACAAGGCUUUCAUCAAGUGUGGGUCAUUUAAUGACAAAGUGAAAUUUGGAUAGCACAAAAAAUAAAUCGGGCCAUCACAUAGUGAUGAUUCAACAACUCCUAAUAAGGAAUCAUUAAAAUUAUUGUGUCUUUUAUCUCUGACACAGAUUAAGGCUGAGGUAUUUAACCCUAAUCUAGUUGCAGGUUUUAGAGCAACUUGAAUCAUUCCUAUGUGUAGGAAAGAG